rnacentral:misc_RNA from 1 species
AAGACUAUAGACCUGCGGAGUACCUGCGGAAGGAUCAUUACUGAGUUUAGGGUCUCAGUGGCCCAAACCUCUUCAACCCCCUUGGUGUCUAUUAUCCUGUUGCUUCGGCAGGCUUCCAGUGGUCUGCCUGUCGGAGCCUUUGCAACAAAAUCUAGUUAUGAAUGUUAGUCUGACCUAUCUAGAAUAUGAAAUUUAAAUUAAAAACUUUCAGCAACGGAUCUCUAGAUCGGAAGAGCACAC